GUGACCGUGGCGGUGUAGGUGGAAGCAGCGGUGGAGGAGGAGGAGGUAGCCAACACUGUUUUUUAUAUAUAUCUAUUUUUUAUUUUAAUUGGGGUAGCCCCCAAAAUAUUGUGGCGUACAAAAAAAGAAAACUGUUCCGCAGAGCAACUGACCCAUGCGUGCUGCAUCUUAAACUCCAGCUCGUCAUGCUAGAGCACUUUUUCAAUGUGCUCCCCAACGAGAUGGCGACGACGCAUUCGUAUGUCAAUCCAUAUCAAUGUUCGAUGCCAUUGACUGUGCCUACCAUGGUGACCACGGGUAAUGGUGAAUCAGGGUUCGAUUCCGUACAGGGACCCUGACAAAUGGCUACCACAUGCAAGGAAGGUAGCAGGCGCGCAAAUGACCCACUCCCAACGCGGGAAGGUAGUGACGACAAAGAACAAUACAGGACUCUUUAGAGGCCCUGUAAUUGUAAUGAGUCCACUUGAAAUCCUUUAACUCUGAUCAAUUGGAGGGAAGUCUGGUGCAGAGCCACUGACACAUGCAUGCUGCAGCUGAAACUCCACU